ACUAUACGAGUUGUUUUAAUUUAACAGUUUACGUCUGUUAAUCGUGUGACUUCCACUUUAUUAAUUAGAAUACGAACAAUCAUUCAUCUAUUAUCUAUUAUUCCCUUGAUUCCAAUUCCUUAAUUAGAAUAUGAAAGAUCAAUAAAGUAUUGUUUCCUUCAAUCAUUACCUAUCAAUUGUAAAGCCUCAUUGAUUGACUUAAUCUUUUAUCUUCCUCUUCUCUUAUUCCAUGACUAUAUGUAACUUAUUCUUCGUCAUUUUACACGACUCUUCAUUCUAAAAUAUUACUCAUUUACCAUAUUCUCCUACUUUGACUGCUACCUUUCCUUCCCCUUAUUUCUUCUACGUAUUGUUGUCUUUUGGUGAUUACCACUUGGUUGCAUCAAAUCAUCACCAAUCCAACUCUUUCUUCCUUAUACCUUAUAAAAUUAUUUUGGCUAGUUUCCCUUCACUUCCUGAUCUCGCGAGUUUAUUAUUGUUAUAUGUGCGUCAUUUGCUAGGAGACGACGAUGGUGUUGAUAUCGCCAAUGACCAAGAGGAGUGACCCUUCAUUUUCGCUCUCCUCUCGACGAUCGAGGUAAAUGAUGUUGGGCUUUCUUUGGACUUUGGGCUCGGGUUGUGAUGCGAGUUUAGAUUGAAUUUGGAACUCUAGUUGGAUAGUUUUCUUUAAAUUCCUUAUUUUCUUUUAAUUAUUCACAUAGUUAAACCAUUAGUUUUGAUUGUGACAUUCCCAAAAGACGGUGUUUCCUCCACCGUCCUUUUUAAUAAAGACUUUUAUAUCUUA